rnacentral:rRNA from 1 species
ACGGGGGGGGCAAGCGUUGUUCGGAAUUACUGGGCGUAAAGGGUGCGUAGGCGGUCCUAUAAGUCAGUGCUGAAAUAUCCCGGCUUAACCGGGAGGGUGGCAUUGAUACUGCAGGACUUGAGUAGAGUUGAGGUAAGCGGAAUUGACGGUGUAGCGGUGAAAUGCUUAGAUAUCGUCAAGAACACCUAUUGCGAAGGCAGCUUACUAAGCUCAAACUGACGCUGAGGCACGAAAGUGUGGGGAUCAAACAGGA